GGAACACUCUAGGAAGAAUGGAGCUGUUCUAAUGGAGGAUAACUUGCUCUUCAGAUGAAAGUAUUUCCUGCUCAUCUCAUACGAAAUGAGUGUUAACAGUGCAAGCAGCCAACUUUUGUUCUCGUGUGCUUCAGGAGCUCAAGUGACUCCACUGAAACUCUGGCAUUUGUCACAGACAAAAUUGGGUCAGGAGAGAGCACAGAGGUACAGAACGGAAAAGAGAGAAAUUCAUCCUUAGGAAAAAAAAAAAAGUCUCAAGCUGCAAACUUGGGCUUAAUUUGUCUCCUCCACGUAAGACGGAUCUAACAACGCAGUCUGGGCUCCGUGCCAAAGGCUGGUAUUUCACAGCAGCGACCGCCUUACAGAUGAGCUGUGGGAAGCAGGAGGGAGACUCUCUUAGGGUGCCACUACUAUGGAGACACAGCUGGGCUGAACAAGAUUUGCUUCAAACGACAACAAGAGAGACAGAAAGUGUCUGGUUCGACCGCUGCCCAAGCAGGCAGUAACCAGAAGAGCUAGCAGCCAAUCCGGCCAUGCUGCACUGUUCGAAACCAGCUCUACAUCCCAGCCAAUCAGUGACAUCACUGGUGAGAAACUCAUUUACAUCAUGCAGUAAUGAACUUUGUUUAACGUAUCCUUUUUUCUUUUCUUUUUUUUUUUUUUUUUCCUCACAGAGAUU
rnacentral:lncRNA from 1 species